CAGGAAGAGGGGGAUUAAGGAGCUUUAGCCCUCUAAAAAAAACACCUCUGUUCCUAAUGAAAACCUGAAAACUGUGUGUAAAAUCUAUCUAAUGGCAUUGUGUAUUUUUUAAGCAAAAUCGUCACUCAGAAAGUGGACUCAAUAGGAGACGUGGGCUGUACUUCAGAAGAUAACGAGUGACAGCCUUCAAGCGGACACGGAAGGUGGAGCACACUCUGGCAAUGUAGUCCCUUCUCAUGGGCUUCCACUCCUUCUCCACAGAGGACUUCAGGUAGGUAACAUUGCUGUGGUUUGAUGUCCAGGACUUGGACUCGACUUGUCACCAGAUGGAAUCAUUCAAAGGAUUCCGAUCGGGGCUCUGAGGAGGCCAGAAGGUCUUGGGCAAAAACUCCAUGUUCUCUUCCAUCUGGGCUUGCACAACAUUGGCUAUGUGGGUAGGUGCGCCAUCCUACUGGAAGACGUAGGACGCCUUGCCCGACUUCUUGGUGAUCUUGAGCACCAACGGGAGUAUCUUGGUCUUCAAGAUCUGCAAGUGGUCGGCUCACAUCAGCCUGUACCCAGUCUUGAACCAAAUCGGCUGCAUUUCGUUUCCGGUCGAAGCCACAACCCCAAGCAUCAUCACAGAGGCCGGGUGUUUUGUCUUGGACACGUGGCGGAGGUAUUUAGAAGUGUCUUCAAAGCAAACAACCCGAUUGUUCUGCUUGUUGAAGACAGGGUCGACAGUGAAUGUUUUUCAUCCGAGAAAUGAUAUACACAAUUACACUAACUAAUUCGAAAGCUUAAAAAGUCAGCUGUCGCGUGAAACAUCGGGAAUUUAGAAAUUACAAUCACUGUACCUCGAAAAGUUAAUCUAUAGUAAUGGUACACCAUGGUUUCACAUGACCCAGUAUAUCAAAGCUAUUCAACUAUUAUGAGUAAAGAAUUUGUCUAUACUGCCUAUAUCUCGUGUUGUAACUAGUUACUUCCAAAGUUUCCAGUGAGGUGAACCAUCUGAACAAUGCAAAUUCUACUUCGCAAGCAUUACAUUCUCCCUGUCAAUGUGUUUGGUGAAGUGCCGAUCCCAUAUCAUCUGUAGACGAUAUAUGUUACGAGUAUAAUACUUAACAGAGUGUCAGACUGAGUAGAUGAGCCACCAGAUUGAAAUCUAUUAAAACUCAGCCUUUGUUUAAAUUAUUUUUUAAAGUUAUGUAUUGAAUUGCAACAAUAAGGCUCUUUUCCCAGUCAACUAAAAACCCUGAUUACGAAAGUAAAACAAGGUUUGAAUACGACUGCUAAAACUCUCAGAAGGUCUAUAUUUGAACUACCGUCUACCCAUUGAGUGGCCUUACGAUAUUUUGUAUGUAUUUCAAUAAUUUAGUAGUUAUCAACACGCGUACAUGGGAUGUCGGGUUGUCAAUGCCCCUAGGUGAAGUGGUAUUAUAAUUUAUGUUUUAAAUUUAUUCGAAUUAUAUAUAUAUUCGACCAGGGCCGUCGCAACAGAGGGGGGUGGAGAGUCACAACCCCUUCCUUUGAUUAUUAUUUUAAAAGGUAUUUAAAAUGAAUAUUAUUUUUUUAAACGUCAUUAUAUGAAAUAUGGACAGUAUUUAUUAAACAAAAAGGCCAUAAGAAGACUGGGAUUAAAAAAAGGUCACUCUAGAAAUAAAAUAAAAAUUAUUUCCUUUAAAGAAAAUAUUUGCCCCACACACACAAAAAAAACGUCCCUGUAGUCGACAUAUAAUGUCAUUUUUUUAUGUAAGUUGAAGCUUUUUCUUAAAAAAUCUGAGUAGUGUAUUUCCUAUCAUAAGCUGUUGUAAUUAUCAUUUAAUUCUUGAAUAGUGAACUUCCUUUUCUAUUAGAUGGAAUUUUAUACAAACCCGGACUGCUCAUAAAAGACGGAGAGUAACCUAGAUUAUUUGUUCCAAAGUUAUAAUUGUAAAUCCUUGUUGGACUCAAAGUAGAAUUGAGGAUCGACAUCCGAG
rnacentral:lncRNA from 1 species